AAGUCGUAACAAGGUUUCCGUAGGUGAACCUGCGGAAGGAUCAUUAUCGAAUUUCGAGGGGAAGGAAGAUGAGGAGUGGAGACUGUCGCUGGCUUUCCCGCCUGGGAAGCAUGUGCACGCCUUGCUUUUCGUUGACCUUUCUCUUACUCUCACACCUGUGCACCCAUUGUAGGUCCUCGAAAGAGGAUCUAUGUUUUUAUCAUCACACGCGCAUCGUAUGUCCAUAGAAUGUAACAUGAUCGUCGAUCGACCUCGCGGUCGGGUGGCGGUCUAAAUAAAUAAAUACAACUUUCAGCAACGGAUCUCUUGGCUCUCGCAUCGAUGAAGAACGCAGCGAAUUGCGAUAAGUAAUGUGAAUUGCAGAUUUUCAGUGAAUCAUCGAAUCUUUGAACGCACCUUGCGCUCCUUGGUAUUCCGAGGAGCAUGCCUGUUUGAGUGUCAUGGAAUUCUCAACCAUGCCUUGAUCGAUUUCGAGGCAUGGCUUGGACUUGGGGGUUGCUGGCGGCGAAAGCUGUCGGCUCUCCUGAAAUGCAUUAGCAAUGGUCGGCAAGUCUGACGUGCACGGCCUUGACGUGAUAAUGAUCGUCGUGGCUGGAGCGUCGGACGAGCGCAAAUACGUCCGUUUGCUUCCAAUCCUUGACUUUGGGACGUGUAGACUUUCGAGCGGAAAGCUUUAGCUACUAGUUGGUCGUGAGACUAACGAACGCGGGCCGCCUCCGGAGGUCAAAGGGUUCCCUCGUCUAC
rnacentral:rRNA from 1 species